AAAAAACGCCAUCUGCAACCCUGAAGAGGACCUUCACCGGAGCCUGAACUUGCCAGCUCUCUGGUCUCUGACUGCCAGCCUCAGAACUAUAUCACCCAUUCGGGUGCUGGGUCCCAAUACACACACCUGUUCUCUUGGCCAGCAGAAGGCUAAAUGAUUUGAAUCAAAAGCAGGUGGUUGUUGGUGCGUGAGAAGGUCAAGCUGAUCCAAUCAGGACUUCUCAUCCACACCUGCAGGUAACUUUCCCCUUGCACAAACUUGAGUUCAUGAGGAAUCAGAGGUUUCGCUGCGACUUAGAAUAUCCCUUCCUAUUUUAGAGACUAAAACUUCUUUAAG